CAGAGUGUGGGGGUUGUGAAAGGUGUGAUGGAUGUCAGAUGUUUCCUAUCAAUGGAUCCAGAUUCAAAUGCAGAAACUGUGAUGACUUUGAUUUUUGUGAAACGUGUUUCAAGACCAAAAAACACAAUACCAGGCAUACAUUUGGCAGAAUAAAUGAACCAGGCUUCAGCAGAAGAAACACUUCCUAUAAAUCUCGCCCAAACAGGAAAGGUAAGUGGCCUAAAAUUUUUCUAGUAUUUUCAAAAUGACCCAGUUACAAUAGGAAAUUUCUUCUUGUACUAUUGUCACUAAUCCCGACUCAAUAUCCUUUAAAGGACAAAGAUGCAUGCAUAAGUAAAAAUAUGACAGGUCACAAUCACGCCGGGGUGGUCCUGGGGCGAGGCCCAAGUUCCCUGCACGCGCCGGCACAAGCACACACACUGUGACGGGGAGGACGUUUACGUACCAUGUCCACACCACUCCAGACUUGGUGAGCGCCAGUAGGAACUGAGCUCCACACUCAAUCUGGCACACCCCCUGUCCAUUUAGUCUCUCAAUGUUCUGGG
rnacentral:lncRNA from 1 species